UACGGAGGGAGCUAGCGUUGUUCGGAAUUAUUGGGCGUAAAGCGCGCGUAGGCGGCUACUUAAGUCGGAUGUGAAAGCCCUUGGCUCAACUGAGGAAGUGCACCCGAAACUGAGUGGCUAGAGUACGAAAGAGGGUCGCGGAAUUCCCGGUGUAGAGGUGAAAUUCGUAGAUAUCGGGAGGAACACCGGUGGCGAAGGCGGCGACCUGGGUCGAUACUGACGCUGAUGCGCGAAAGCGUGGGGAGCAAACAGG
rnacentral:rRNA from 1 species